rnacentral:rRNA from 1 species
UUUGUCCUACGGGGGGCAGCAGUGGGGGAUAUUGCACAAUGGGGGGAACCCUGAUGCAGCGACGCCGCGUGAGUGAAGAAGUAAUUCGUUAUGUAAAGCUCUAUCAGCAGGGAAGAAUAAAUGACGGUACCUGAGUAAGAAGCCCCGGCUAACUACGUGCCAGCAGCCGCGGUAAUACGUAGGGGGCAAGCGUUAUCCGGAUUUACUGGGUGUAAAGGGAGCGUAGGUGGCAUGGUAAGCCAGAAGUGAAAACCCAGGGCUCAACUCUGUGGAUUGCUUUUGGAACUAUCAAGCUAGAGUGCUGG